UGCAGUCGAGCGGCAGCGGGAAAGUAGCUUGCUACUUUUGCCGGCGAGCGGCGGACGGGUGAGUAAUGCCUGGGGAUCUGCCCAGUCGAGGGGGAUAACAGUUGGAAACGACUGCUAAUACCGCAUACGCCCUACGGGGGAAAGGAGGGGACCUUCGGGCCUUUCGCGAUUGGAUGAACCCAGGUGGGAUUAGCUAGUUGGUGGGGUAAUGGCUCACCAAGGCGACGAUCCCUAGCUGGUCUGAGAGGAUGAUCAGCCACACUGGAACUGAGACACGGUCCAGACUCCUACGGGAGGCAGCAGUGGGGAAUAUUGCACAAUGGGGGAAACCCUGAUGCAGCCAUGCCGCGUGUGUGAAGAAGGCCUUCGGGUUGUAAAGCACUCUCAGCGAGGAGGAAAGGUUGGCGCCUAAUACGUGUCAACUGUGACGUUACUCGCAGAAGAAGCACCGGCUAACUCCGUGCCAGCAGCCGCGGUAAUGCGGAGGGUGCAAGCGUUAAUCGGAAUUACUGGGCGUAAAGCGCACGCAGGCGGUUGGAUAAGUUAGAUGUGAAAGCCCCGGGCUCAACCUGGGAAUUGCAUUUAAAACUGUCCAGCUAGAGUCUUGUAGAGGGGGGUAGAAUUCCAGGUGUAGCGGUGAAAUGCGUAGAGAUCUGGAGGAAUACCGGUGGCGAAGGCGGCCCCCUGGACAAAGACUGACGCUCA
rnacentral:rRNA from 1 species